rnacentral:rRNA from 1 species
GACGAACGCUGGCGGCGUGCCUAAUACAUGCAAGUAGAACGCACAGUUUAUACCGUAGCUUGCUACACCAUAGACUGUGAGUUGCGAACGGGUGAGUAACGCGUAGGUAACCUGCCUGGUAGCGGGGGAUAACUAUUGGAAACGAUAGCUAAUACCGCAUAAUAUUAAUUAUUGCAUGAUAAUUGAUUGAAAGAUGCAACUGCAUCACUACCAGAUGGACCUGCGUUGUAUUAGCUAGUAGGUGAGGUAACGGCUCACCUAGGCGACGAUACAUAGCCGACCUGAGAGGGUGAUCGGCCACACUGGGACUGAGACACGGCCCAGACUCCUACGGGAGGCAGCAGUAGGGAAUCUUCGGCAAUGGACGAAAGUCUGGCCGAGCAACGCCGCGUGAGUGAAGAAGGUUUUCGGAUCGUAAAGCUCUGUUGUAAGAGAAGAACGGGUGUGAGAGUGGAAAGUUCACACUGUGACGGUAUCUUACCAGAAAGGGACGGCUAACUACGUG